rnacentral:rRNA from 1 species
CCCUUAGAUGUUCUGGGCUGCACGCGUGCUACAAUGGCGCUUGCAACAAGUCUUGCCAACCCGAUAGGGUGAGCGGAUCUUUGAAGAGGCGUCGUGAUCGGGACAGUUGAUUGCAAUUAUUCGACUCGAACGAGGAAUUCCUUGUAAUCGCGAUUCAUCAUAUCGCGCUGAAUACGUCCCUGCCCUUUGUACACACCGCCCGUCGCUCCUACCGAUUGAGUGAUCCGGUGAGGCUCUGGGACCUGGACGGAAAGAGCGUUUCGCUUGUUCUGUUUGGGAAACUUGGUCGAACCUUAUCAUUUAGAGGAAGGAGAAGUCGUAACA